GCCGCCAUGGCGCAGUGGUAACGCGUCGCACUUGUACCACUUGGACAGAUACAACUGUCCUUCAAUGUCGUGAAAUGCGAAGAUCCCUAGUUCAAUUCUGGGUGGCGGCA
rnacentral:tRNA from 1 species